AAAGAUCCUUGUGAUUACACUGGACAGUCCUGAGUCAUUCAAGAUACUCUCCUUAUGUUCAGGAUUCAAAUGUGUGACCUUGAGCGAUGCAUCUAUCUCUGAACCUCUCCUCUUCCAUAAAAUGGGACUGAUGAAAGAAAUAUCACUGACUCAGGAGCAAGACUUCGAUAAUUUGCAUACUCUGAUAAAGUGGGGAGGGUAAUCCUGAAAGAGCUGCUGUUGUACUGUUUGAUAGCAUCAAAACUGAAAGAUACUGCAUUGAAUUCUUCUCAGAACAUUGUGAUAUUGAUAGUAAAUGGAUUAUUUAAAAUAUGAAUUCAUUUAUAAUAUGCUUUUAAAAAUGUAGUGUAACCCCAUUCUGUCAAAAAAAUGUGAGAAAUUGUCUUUAAUUAGAAAGAGAUUUGUAAAUCUUUACUCAGUUUUUACUAGCAUUUGUGAUUAUAAACUUGCUUAGCUGGAGUGUUACAGUUAUGAAAAUUAGCAAU